UGGGAUGUGGCUCAGUGGUAGAGCACUUACCUAGCAUGUGUAAGGCACUGGUUUCUAUUUCCAGCACCCUAA
rnacentral:tRNA from 1 species